rnacentral:rRNA from 1 species
AGAGUUUGAUCCUGGCUCAGAACGAACGCUGGCGGCAUGCCUAACACAUGCAAGUCGAACGAUCCCUUCGGGGAUAGUGGCGCACGGGUGCGUAACGCGUGGGAAUCUGCCCUUGGGUUCGGAAUAACAGUGAGAAAUUACUGCUAAUACCGGAUGAUGUCUUCGGACCAAAGAUUUAUCGCCCAAGGAUGAGCCCGCGUAGGAUUAGCUAGUUGGUGGGGUAAUGGCCUACCAAGGCGACGAUCCUUAGCUGGUCUGAGAGGAUGAUCAGCCACACUGGGACUGAGACACGGCCCAGACUCCUACGGGAGGCAGCAGUGGGGAAUAUUGGACAAUGGGCGAAAGCCUGAUCCAGCAAUGCCGCGUGAAUGAUGAAGGCCUUAGGGUUGUAAAGCUCUUUUACCCGGGAUGAUAAUGACAGUACCGGA